GUAAACAUAAUAAAUCACAACGACUUAAGAUGACAAUGUUUGUAAAAAUUUCAUAAUAUUAGUUGUAUCUCAAUAAAAAUUAGAAUAUCAACAAAAUUUGUUUCAGGAUUACAGUAACAAUGUUGUUGUUUGUUGCUAUAUACAAAUGAUGCCUUAAAGACAAACUCAAGAAAUUGUGGAAAUGACAUUUAGAAUAUUGUCUUCAUUUGUAUUUUAUAACAUAAUCUGUUUAUUGCACUCAAUGUCAGGCACUAUUUGUUCAUAAAAUUUUACCUCUACCAAAUAAAAAGCAAGGCUAUGAAACCCAUGUUAGGUGAAUAAGUAAACAUUGACUAGUAUAAAUUGUACAUUACAAUGUUGUUUUAUAUGUACAUAAAAUCUCAAUUACAUCACAGUUUUAGUGUAAGCCUUACUCAUGCUGUACCUACUAUUUUAAAUAUCGUGUGAUUUAGAUGCUGAUAUAAUAAUCUGGUGAACAAAUAGUCCUUAUUUUUAGACUGUCUAUUAAUUGGACCAUAUGGGGAUGCAAUUAUUAAAGGUGGAUUUAAUUACUUGAACAUGCCCUGUGUUACAAGACUG